rnacentral:rRNA from 1 species
AGUGGGGAAUUUUGGACAAUGGGCGCAAGCCUGAUCCAGCCAUUCCGCGUGAGUGAAGAAGGCCUUCGGGUUGUAAAGCUCUUUCGCAAGGGAAGAAACGAUGCAGUCGAAUAAACUGCGUUAAUGACGGUACCUUGAUAAGAAGCACCGGCUAACUACGUGCCAGCAGCCGCGGUAAUACGUAGGGUGCGAGCGUUAAUCGGAAUUACUGGGCGUAAAGCGUGCGCAGGCGGUUUUGUAAGUCAGAUGUGAAAUCCCCGGGCUCAACCUGGGAACUGCGUUUGAAACUACAAGGCUAGAGUGUAGCAGAGGGGGGUAGAAUUCCACGUGUAGCAGUGAAAUGCGUAGAGAUGUGGAGGAAUACCAAUGGCGAAGGCAGCCCCCUGGGUUAACACUGACGCUCAUGCACGAAAGCGUGGGGAGCAAACAGGAUUAGAUACCCUGGUAGUCCACGCCCUAAACGAUGUCAACUAGUUGUUGGUGGAGU